GACGAACGCUGGCGGCGAGCCUAAUACAUGCAAGUUGAGCGCUGAAGGUUGGUACUUGUACCAACUGGAUGAGCAGCGAACGGGUGAGUAACGCGUGGGGAAUCUGCCUUUGAGCGGGGGACAACAUUUGGAAACGAAUGCUAAUACCGCAUAAAAACUUUAAACACAAGUUUUAAGUUUGAAAGAUGCAAUUGCAUCACUCAAAGAUGAUCCCGCGUUGUAUUAGCUAGUUGGUGAGGUAAAGGCUCACCAAGGCGAUGAUACAUAGCCGACCUGAGAGGGUGAUCGGCCACAUUGGGACUGAGACACGGCCCAAACUCCUACGGGAGGCAGCAGUAGGGAAUCUUCGGCAAUGGACGAAAGUCUGACCGAGCAACGCCGCGUGAGUGAAGAAGGUUUUCGGAUCGUAAAACUCUGUUGGUAGAGAAGAACGUUGGUGAGAGUGGAAAGCUCAUCAAGUGACGGUAACUACCCAGAAAGGGACGGCUAACUACGUG
rnacentral:rRNA from 1 species